rnacentral:lncRNA from 1 species
CCCGCAACUGAACUGGAGGAUGAUGUGCUUUCACGAGGACUAAUUCAGCUGACGUUUCAUAGCGAUUUUGGUUAAGGGAUCCUCUACGUCGGGCUGGCGACUCUAAAACUAGCGCUUGGUGGGAGGCAACCCACCGUUGGUUUAGUUUUUGUUGUUUUUGUUUUUCUUGUACUUUAUUUUCCGUUUUUGUUUUGUGUUUUCCUAAGUUUUGGUUGCUUGUGCGGAUACUUUGAUGCUUGGUGUUAAUGUUUUGUUUUCAGCGCUGCCGUCUCUACUCUGCCCAAGGCCGCAAACUCCACUCUUCACCGCCUCUCACGAUGCUUCAGUUUUUCAUUGCCGAUAAUCAGGGACAUUUCUAAACUCUUCUUAUUUCUUUUCUGCCCUGAGGACAUGGCAUGCUUUAAG